AACGGUAGCUAAUACCGCAUAACGUCGCAAGACCAAAGAGGGGGACCUUCGGGCCUCUUGCCAUCGGAUGUGCCCAGAUGGGAUUAGCUAGUAGGUGGGGUAACGGCUCACCUAGGCGACGAUCCCUAGCUGGUCUGAGAGGAUGACCAGCCACACUGGAACUGAGACACGGUCCAGACUCCUACGGGAGGCAGCAGUGGGGAAUAUUGCACAAUGGGCGCAAGCCUGAUGCAGCCAUGCCGCGUGUAUGAAGAAGGCCUUCGGGUUGUAAAGUACUUUCAGCGGGGAGGAAGGGAGUAAAGUUAAUACCUUUGCUCAUUGACGUUACCCGCAGAAGAAGCACCGGCUAACUCCGUGCCAGCAGCCGCGGUAAUACGGAGGGUGCAAGCGUUAAUCGGAAUUACUGGGCGUAAAGCGCACGCAGGCGGUUUGUUAAGUCAGAUGUGAAAUCCCCGGGCUCAACCUGGGAACUGCAUCUGAUACUGGCAAGCUUGAGUCUCGUAGAGGGGGGUAGAAUUCCAGGUGUAGCGGUGAAAUGCGUAGAGAUCUGGAGGAAUACCGGUGGCGAAGGCGGCCCCCUGGACGAAGACUGACGCUCAGGUGCGAAAGCGUGGGGAGCAAACAGG
rnacentral:rRNA from 1 species